UCUUCUCAUCUCCUUCCUUGCUUCUCUAGUUCUCUCCAAGCCAAAGCUUCUCCAAAAAAUAAAAAAAAAAAUAAAAAAAUCCUGAGUUUCAUGGUGCCAAGGAAAUGAAGAACUCUUCUUCUCUUGAUCUCCAUCUUUCCAUCAUCAAACCAAAGGAGGUGAGGCUAUGCCCAAGAGUAAAGAAUCGGUGGGGGAUUAACACCUGAAUGGUUAACUCGCCAAGUUGGGUGGUUUUGAUGGUGACAAGAGGGAUCCCCAUUACUUAUUGCAGUAGGGGUGUGGAUGGUUUCCACCGGCUGACCUGUUUAGAGGUGGUGUGGAAUACUGUCAAACCGGUUAUGCCAUUUCAAGUGGGAGUGUAGAGCCCUGACUUGGAUAUUGUUGAGUUGUUCAGAGUCACCACACGAACUUCCCAGCGGCCAACACCAAGAUACGUGCAUCUUGGUGGCUCCUGACCUAACCGAGGCAACGAUUAGCAAGGGAGGGUUUUUGAGGCUAUUUGGGAUAUUGUCAAUUGUUUUAAUUGUUGAUUUAUUUAUUUUAAACAUUUUGAACUAUGAGUUAUUAAAAGAAUGUAUGAAUUUGGAUUUCAUACUUGUAUGGAUUCUGUGAUGAUUUAAAAAGUUUUUAUCGUGCACUU